rnacentral:rRNA from 1 species
UACAGAGGGGGCAAGCGUUAAUCGGAAUUACUGGGCGUAAAGCGUGCGUAGGCGGUUCUUUAAGUCAGGUGUGAAAGCCCCGGGCUCAACCUGGGAAUUGCAUUUGAGACUGAAUAGCUAGGGUGCGGAAGAGGGAAGCGGAAUUUCCGGUGUAGCGGUGAAAUGCGUAGAUAUCAGGAGGAAUACCGAUGGCGAAGGCAGGUCUCUGGGCUGAUACUGACGCUCAUGCACGAAAGCGUGGGGAGCAAACAGG